rnacentral:rRNA from 1 species
CCGGUGGCGAAGGCGGCCCCCUNGACAAAGACUGACGCUCAGGUGCGAAAGCGUGGGGAGCNAACAGGAUUAGAUACCCUGGUAGNCCACGCUGUAAACGAUGUCGACUUGGAGGUNGNGCCCUNGGGGCGUGGCUUCCGGAGCUAACGCGUUAANUCGACCGCCUGGGGAGUACGGCCGCAAGGUUAAAACUCAAAUGAAUUGACGGGGGCCCGCACAAGCGGUGGAGCAUGUGGUUUAAUUCGAUGCAACGCGAAGAACCUUACCUACUCUUGACAUCCACGGAACUUGCCAGAGAUGGCUUGGUGCCUUCGGGAACCGUGAGACAGGUGCUGCAUGGCUGUCGUCAGCUCGUGUUGUGAAAUGUUGGGUUAAGUCCCGCAACGAGCGCAACCCUUAUCCUUUGUUGCCAGCACUUCGGGUGGGAACUCAAAGGAGACUGCCGGUGAUAAACCGGAGGAAGGUGGGGAUGACGUCAAGUCAUCAUGGCCCUUACGAGUAGGGCUACACACGUGCUACAAUGGCGUAUACAAAGAGAAGCAAACUCGCGGGAGCCAGCGGACCUCAUAAAGUACGUCGUAGUCCGGAUUGGGGUCUGCAACUCGACUCCAUGAAGUCGGAAUCGCUAGUAAUCGUAGAUCAGAAUGCUACGGUGAAUACGUUCCCGGGCCUUGUACACACCGCCCGUCACACCAUGGGAGUGGGUUGCAAAAGAAGUAGGUAGCUUAACCUUCGGGAGGGCGCUUACCACUUUGUGAUUCAUGACUGGGGUG